rnacentral:rRNA from 1 species
UACGAAGGGGGCUAGCGUUGCUCGGAAUUACUGGGCGUAAAGCGUGCGCAGGCGGCUUCUCAAGUCAGGGGUGAAAGCCCAGAGCUCAACUCUGGAAUUGCCUUUGAGACUGAGGGGCUUGAGUACGAGAGAGGUGAGUGGAAUUCCCAGUGUAGAGGUGAAAUUCGUAGAUAUUGGGAAGAACACCGGUGGCGAAGGCGGCUCACUGGCUCGUAACUGACGCUCAUGCACGACAGCGUGGGGAUCAAACAGG